GACGAACGCUGGCGGCGUGCCUAAUACAUGCAAGUUGAGCGCUGAAGGUUGGUACUUGUACCGACUGGAUGAGCAGCGAACGGGUGAGUAACGCGUGGGGAAUCUGCCUUUGAGCGGGGGACAACAUUUGGAAACGAAUGCUAAUACCGCAUAAAAACUUUAAACACAAGUUUUAAGUUUGAAAGAUGCAAUUGCAUCACUCAAAGAUGAUCCCGCGUUGUAUUAGCUAGUUGGUGAGGUAAAGGCUCACCAAGGCGAUGAUAUAUAGCCGACCUGAGAGGGUGAUCGGCCACAUUGGGACUGAGACACGGCCCAAACUCCUACGGGAGGCAGCAGUAGGGAAUCUUCGGCAAUGGACGAAAGUCUGACCGAGCAACGCCGCGUGAGUGAAGAAGGUUUUCGGAUCGUAAAACUCUGUUGGUAGAGAAGAACGUUGGUGAGAGUGGAAAGCUCAUCAAGUGACGGUAACUACCCAGAAAGGGACGGCUAACUACGUG
rnacentral:rRNA from 1 species